rnacentral:lncRNA from 1 species
AUGUUUCACUAAAAAAUAAAAAAUAAAAACAUAAUUUUUUUAAUUUUACUAUCUAAUUUUUCAAUUUAUUUAGUUUAACUCUAUUAGCGAUACUCCGACUCUAAAAUUUGAGUGUAUCGUAUAUCUUUACAGGUUUAGUAAAUAUACUUUAUACAUUUUUUGUAAAUAUAAAUUUACUAAAGUAAAUAAAUAACUUAAAUUUUGAAGUCGAAAUACCACUAACCGACUCAAAUCAAACAAAUAGAAAAAUUAAGCAGUAAAUCAAAAUUUUGAAAGAUUGGGUAGCAGGGUCGAAAUGGUCUAUAGUUCAAGUAAGUUUUGCACUUUUUUACAAAAGGAAAAAAAAUCUACUUCUACUAUACGGGACCGUUUAGUUAGAUGUAAUUAUAAAUGCAGUAUAUAUAGUUAGAAAUGCAUGCAGUUGGAAAUACAGUAGUUAUAACUACAUGAAUCCCGUUUGGUUCGAUAUAGUAGAAAACGCUGUAAGUAUAAAUAAUUUAUUUGGUUGCAUACAGUUGAGAAAUAAUUUUUAAAAUUUUAUUAUUUUAUAUAUAUAUAUAUAUAAUAGUGAGAUUACCUCCAAUAUAAAAAAGAAAAAUAAUUUUUGUUUAAAAAUAUUGAGAAGGUCGUAAGCAUACCUUUUAUUUAAAGUUAUUCUCUCCAACUGCUGUAGUUGGAACUCCGGCUAAUUUGGGCGUAGUUCGAACUACUGCAGUUGGGUCUCCUCCUGUCGUUCCUACUGCACCAGUUGGAAUUAAAUAUAUCAAACCAAUCACGGAAUUUGCAUUUAUAUGCAGUUACAACUGCAGUGCAGUUACAACUGCAUGCAACCAAACGGUCCCUACAUGCAUCAGAUUUAUUGAAUUUAAUGAAAUUUAACUAUAUAUAUCAAAUUUAACUAUA